rnacentral:rRNA from 1 species
UACGUAGGUGACCAGCGUUGUCCGGAUUUACUGGGCGUAAAGAGCGCGCAGGCGGUCGUUCAAGUCGAGUGUGAAAGCCCCCGGCUCAACUGGGGAGGGUCACUCGAUACUGAUCGACUUGAAGGCAGGAGAGGGAAGCGGAAUUCCCGGUGUAGUGGUGAAAUGCGUAGAUAUCGGGAGGAACGCCAAUGGUGAAGACAGGUGACUGGGCUAGUUCUGACACUGAGGCACGAAAGCGUGGGGAUCAAACGGG